GUGCAGCCAAUUAAGCCGACCAUGCUCUCUGCCCUGUGGGACACGGUGUGCAAUGGUUGCAGACAGCAAGCAAGCAGCCUCCUUGGUAGUGUACGCAGCCUGUGGCCUGUAUGGGCUGUAAUAAGGGACCUUGGAGACAGUC